rnacentral:rRNA from 1 species
GGUCUCCGUAGGUGAACCUGCGGAGGGAUCAUUACACAAAUAUGAAGGCGGGCUGGAACCUCUCGGGGUUACAGCCUUGCUGAAUUAUUCACCCUUGUCUUUUGCGUACUUCUUGUUUCCUUGGUGGGUUCGCCCACCACUAGGACAAACAUAAACCUUUUGUAAUUGCAAUCAGCGUCAGUAACAAAUUAAUAAUUACAACUUUCAACAACGGAUCUCUUGGUUCUGGCAUCGAUGAAGAACGCAGCGAAAUGCGAUAAGUAGUGUGAAUUGCAGAAUUCAGUGAAUCAUCGAAUCUUUGAACGCACAUUGCGCCCUUUGGUAUUCCAAAGGGCAUGCCUGUUCGAGCGUCAUUUGUACCCUCAAGCUUUGCUUGGUGUUGGGCGUCUUGUCUCUAGCUUUGCUGGAGACUCGCCUUAAAGUAAUUGGCAGCCGGCCUACUGGUUUCGGAGCGCAGCACAAGUCGCACUCUCUAUCAGCAAAGGUCUAGCAUCCAUUAAGCCUUUUUUUCAACUUUUGACCUCGGAUCAGGUAGGGGAUACCCCGCAGAACUUAAGCAUA